rnacentral:tRNA from 1 species
AGGGUUGUGGCUCAGUGGUAAAGUACUUGCCUUGCAUGCGUGAGGCCCUGGGUUUGAUCCCCGGCACCACAU